ACAAGCCCAAACCAACGCCACACACGCAUCGGCACCGCCUUCGGGGUGCCGCGGCCGAUCCCGCCACAUCCAGGGAACGCCCGCGGUCGAAGCCGGGGAUGCGUGGAGGUCCCAAC
rnacentral:sRNA from 1 species